CCCUCGCUGGCUCAGCUGGAUAGAGCGCCUGUCUUGUAAGUAGGGGAUCCCGGGUUCGAGUCCCGGUCGGGGAA